CACAGUGUGUUUAGACAGAGCCGCUCAGUCCCCACCAGUGUUUCCGUAUACCGUGAUUUGCAUAAACAUGAGUAAUUUAUGAAUAAUAAAUGCCCUUGCGUUCAGCGGGAGCCGUUAAUUUGCAUAUCACCGCAGCUACAGUUUUAUUUCCUUAGUGCGUUGUUAUCAUGAAGCCCUUCAAGCCCGCAUAAACCCGAAUCAAAGACGUAAUGCUUUAACAGAGUGAAAGUAGCAGUUCCUCCUUAAGGUCAGAGAUUGCAGCAUCUGAGGGCCUCUUCAAAAGAAGACGGAGUUGAUGAAGAUGUUCUGGAGCAGGACCAGAAAGACCACAACCAAGCCGCCUGGAGAUCUUAGGCAGUGUCUCCCUCAGAUCCACCAACCACUGGAACACAUCUCCAAAGUUCUGCUGAAGCUCAGCUUCCCCUCAGAAGAAGUGCCGCCAGAUAAAGGAGCCUUUUGAGAGGCAGCUGGCAUCGUGAUUGGGCUGUACUUUGGUCUGAUCCAAUCCAGCUUCAGCUCCAGAGACAGCAGGCGGGGCGAUUCAACGGAGGCCGGGUGGACGAAGGCAUGCAGCUGAGUACAAUCCAGAAAACACCAGAGGAGGAGUGCAGCGGCCCAGGGCCAGAACAAACAGAGUAGCAUAGUAUGUCUCUUAGAAAACAUCAUAGUAUAGUCAUUGGUUCAAAAAACACCAUCAUAUACAUCGUAUAUUGUACAAAUAACCAGUCAAAGGAAAGAGACAUACAUUGUAGAAUUGCAGUAGCUGUGGGCUGACUGAUUUACUGAUUAUCAGUAUUUUAAUUUUUACUGAUUUACGGUAACAAAUAAAUUUAUAAAUGGCAUUACUUUGGCUCUGAACCUUUAUCUUGCUGUGGUCACUCUGUCUUCUGGAGAGAUUUAAUUGGUUAUACGUCACGAAUAAAACUCCUUUAACUUAACAUCUGGAAACAAAACAAAAACACAUCAACAAAGUUUUCUGUUAGAGUUUGUGUUCUUCUAAAUUUAACUCCAAGAUUUUAAAUACUUUCAUUUACUGCAAAUGAAUUUCUCCUCCAAAUGUCUCUCUAAUAAUCAUGAUCAGCCUUAAAAUCCCACAAAACACCCAUCUAUACUGGACCACACUUAGUACAGUCUGGUUCCCCCUUCUAUAAAUCUGCUUGGAAUCUUCCACUUCCUGUUUGUCAAAGUGGCCUUCUACCUGGACAGGUUUUGUUGGAGUUCAUGCAACAAACAUUUUGGGUAACUGCACUUUAAUAUGGAUGAACGACACUGAAUUAGAGUCUGUUUCAGUGGCGGCUGGUGGUGAAAUUUGUUGGGUGGGCUAACAAAUGCAUAAUACCGAUUAAAUGGUUAACACAGCUACAAAAGCAACAUCACCUGUGAUACACAUGCGGGCUAAAAUCCUUGAUUAUGCGGGCUAAAAUCCUUGGUUAUGUGAAUAAAUAUGCGGGGUUUUAUGCCAUUUUAUGUGGGGAAAUUGCAGAAAGUUGCAAAGUAUGCAAAAAUAUGCGCGAUUCACCUGCCGUCUGGCCAUGGAGGGAUGUGUCCUCUAAUCAGACACUGGGACUGCUGCGGGGUUACUGGACUGACAGCCUGUGCUUUGGGAGGGGGAGAAGCUCACAGCAGCACCUGCUGCUUGUUGAGGACAGUAACUGCAGAAUGAUCCGAGUUUUCCUGUCAGUCUCCAAAACAGCAGAAAAAGUCGCUAGAUUUGUGGCUCGUCGCUUUUGACAAAAAAAGUCGCUAGGACGCUUUCGAAAGUCGCUAGAUUUAGCGAGAAAGUCGCUAAGUUGGCAACACUGGUGCCGCGCUCCGCAUCAGCUCGUGCUUCUAGUGUGUGUGUGUGUGUGUGUGUGUGAAUGCACAAACUGAUGACGUCAGGCCAGGCGUCACAUAAAAACUCACUCACAACUCCAUUUAUAUUGGUUAUAGUUUUCUCAUUUUAUGCGGAAAUUGUGAAAUCAAGCAGGACCCGCAUAUUUCUCUUUUUUUUGUGGAAAUGUGAGAUUCUUGCAGGAAUUAUGUGCUGUUUUGCGGGGAUUAUGCGGCCUUUUGGGAAAUAAUUGACCCCUACAUAAUCAGCGGCAUUUUGGUGAUUAAUGCGGGAAUUCAUGCGAUUGCAAAAUCACGUUUUUCUGGAGGGUCUAGAAGUUAGCCCAAAUGAUCUGUAAAUCAUAGGGGUGGGACAUGACACCUGUCAAUCACUUACAAGAACAAAAUGAAUAAAAGCCACCACUGCGUUAAGUCGCUGCUAUUGGUCAAAAGUCAGUGGGCUGCCUGACGUUAGCCCAAAUGAUCAGUAAAUCACAGAGGUGGGACAUGACACCUGUCAAUCACUUACAAGAACGAAAUGAAUGAAAGCGGACUGUAUCUGCUGGGGCUGUAAAAAAUAAGCCCAUUUAGAGAUAUUCUAUGUUUUUCUUUUGACUGAUUGGUGCUUUUGUUACCUUUUUUUCACCUAAACUUAAAACAAUCUGUUGUAAGUUAUUUAAAAAAUAAUUUUCUCAUCUUUUUUGUGUUUGCUUGGGAGGGCUUAGCCCUGUUUAGCCCAUUUAUACCAGCCGUCCCUGGUCUGUUUUAAUGAGACUGAGUUCAGAUGUGUAGCUCUUUCAUUAAAUAGGAAAUUAUUUCUCGGCAUUCACAGAGAAAAGUCUGAAAUGUUUGCUAGGUUAGCGUCCCACAUGUUCUUUGGCUCAGCUAAAGCUAACUCUCCAACUUCUGGAUCUCUUGAGUUGCUUGUUGUUAAAAUAUCUUGCUAGAGGUGCUGAAGCUCAGAAAGUCUGAGAUGUUUGUUCAAAAUAAGCUCAUUCUCAAAUCUUAUCUGAACUGUCCUCUUUUGUUUGAACUUUCCCUAAAAUUAGGAGUUAAUGACAGAGCAGCACGUCCAGACUCAGUCUCAUUUAUGUAGAGAUUAAUCUUCAGUGUCAUUUAUUGAUGAUAAAUAAAUGACAACCCUAACCCUAACCCUAACCCUAAAUAACUUUCUCCACUAAAACUAAUAAACAUGAGGUCAAACAGAAGGAACAGUUUUAAAUCCUGCAGUCCCACGACAACAAGAAUAAAGUUUCUCAACAAAAACUAAAUCUGCUGGUGGAUUCCAUUAAAGUCCUAAUAAAUGAUAAUAAAGUGUGAUACUAAAGGUUUGUGGUGCUAAAAAUCUCAGAGUAAAGAUAUCAAGUUGAACAUCUGGAUGGAGGUUGAUAAAAGUUGACCUCCCUUCAUUUCUCUGGAGAUGACUCCAUGGAUUGAACUGUUUUUUCUUUAGUUAGAUUCUUCUUAAAUGUUUAGUUUUGCUCUUUUCUCACCUUUUAUUCUUUUUUGAUGUCUGAUUCUGAAAUGUUUUGUCUUUUUAAUGUUUAAUUGUUGUUUUUCAAAUGUUUUAUUGGCUUGUUUGAAAAAUUUCCUUUUCUUUUCCAAUGUUUAAUUUUUAGAUUAAAUCUUUAAGGGUUUUCUUUUAAAAGUUUUACUACCUUUUAAUGUUGAAUUUUAUUUUUGAAUGCUUCAUUGUAUUUUCUGUUUAAUUCCUAUUUAAAAUGUUGUCUUUAAGAUGUAAUUUUCUAAUGAAAUGUUUUGUCUUUUUAAAGGUUUAAUAACAAAUUAAAUGUUUUGAAUUUUAAAUGUUUAAUACUCUUAUUUAAGUGUAUUUUUUCAAUGUUUAAUUAUCUAUAUUUGAUCUUUAAUGCUAAAUACUUUUGUUUAAAAAUGUUUUAUUUCAUAAUUACAUGUUUUGUAUCUUCUGUUUAAUUAAAUUUUUGUCUGUUUAAUAUGAUUUAACUGUAUUUGUUUAACUCUCUUUUUACAAAUUUUAUUGUAUUAAAUGUUUCUUCCUUUGAUUUAA